rnacentral:rRNA from 1 species
GAUGAACGCUGGCGGCGUGCCUAAUACAUGCCAGUCGAGCGAACGGACGAGAAGCUUGCUUCUCUGAUGUUAGCGGCGGACGGGUGAGUAACACGUGGAUAACCUACCUAUAAGACUGGGAUAACUUCGGGAAACCGGAGCUAAUACCGGAUAAUAUUUUGAACCGCAUGGUUCAAAAGUGAAAGACGGUCUUGCUGUCACUUAUAGAUGGAUCCGCGCCGCAUUAGCUAGUUGGUAAGGUAACGGCUUACCAAGGCAACGAUGCAUAGCCGACCUGAGAGGGUGAUCGGCCACACUGGAACUGAGACACGGUCCAGACUCCUACGGGAGGCAGCAGUAGGGAAUCUUCCGCAAUGGGCGAAAGCCUGACGGAGCAACGCCGCGUGAGUGAUGAAGGUCUUCGGAUCGUAAAACUCUGUUAUUAGGGAAGAACAUAUGUGUAAGUAACUGUGCACAUCUUGACGGUACCUAAUCAGAAAGCCACGGCUAACUACGUG